rnacentral:lncRNA from 1 species
UAGUGUGGGAAGAUGGGAUGGUAAGAACAAAGUCUGUCUCUGGAAGCACGGGCGCUGUCUCUGAAGACAAAUUGAUCGUAACACAAGCAGACCCGGUGGAACGACCUCCAUGCUGAACCCUCAGCUCCCCCUGCAUUUGGACCAUGGCCUGAUGGAAGAUAAAGAGACUGAUCUCAGAGUGGUACAGAUCUACAACCACGUGAAGAAUUGGAUUUAUAUUCAUCUGACUCCAGAAAGUUCCUGAGAUUCCUCUGCUUCAUCAUCUUUCCCAUGCCCUUUAAAACACGUUAUCAAAUAGCAACAGGUGGUGCAAUAACUAGACAA